rnacentral:rRNA from 1 species
UACGGGGGGGGCAAGCGUUGUUCGGAAUUACUGGGCGUAAAGGGCUCGUAGGCGGCCAACUAAGUCAGACGUGAAAUCCCUCGGCUUAACCGGGGAACUGCGUCUGAUACUGGAUGGCUUGAGUGUGGGAGAGGGAUGCGGAAUUCCAGGUGUAGCGGUGAAAUGCGUAGAUAUCGGGAGGAACACCAGUGGCGAAGGCGACUACCUGGCCCAUUCUUGACGCUGAGGCGCGAAAGCUAGGGGAGCGAACGGG